rnacentral:rRNA from 1 species
UAGAGUUUGAUCCUGCUCAGAUGAACGCBGGCGGCGUGCCUAAUACAUGCAAGUCGAGCGAACAGACAAGGAGCUUGCUCCUUUGACGUUAGCGGCGGACGGGUGAGUAACACGUGGGUAACCUACCUAUAAGACUGGGAUAACUUCGGGAAACCGGAGCUAAUACCGGAUAAUAUUUCGAACCGCAUGGUUCGAUAGUGAAAGAUGGUUUUGCUAUCACUUAUAGAUGGACCCGCGCCGUAUUAGCUAGUUGGUAAGGUAACGGCUUACCAAGGCGACGAUACGUAGCCGACCUGAGAGGGUGAUCGGCCACACUGGAACUGAGACACGGUCCAGACUCCUACGGGAGGCAGCAGUAGGGAAUCUUCCGCAAUGGGCGAAAGCCUGACGGAGCAACGCCGCGUGAGUGAUGAAGGUCUUCGGAUCGCAAAACUCUGUUAUUAGGGAAGAACAUACGUGUAAGUAACUAUGCACGUCUUGACGGUACCUAAUCAGAAAGCCACGGCUAACUACGUGCCAGCAGCCGCGGUAAUACGUAGGUGGCAAGCGUUAUCCGGAAUUAUUGGGCGUAAAGCGCGCGUAGGCGGUUUUUUAAGUCUGAUGUGAAAGCCCACGGCUCAACCGUGGAGGGUCAUUGGAAACUGGAAAACUUGAGUGCAGAAGAGGAAAGUGGAAUUCCAUGUGUAGCGGUGAAAUGCGCAGAGAUAUGGAGGAACACCAGUGGCGAAGGCGACUUUCUGGUCUGUAACUGACGCUGAUGUGCGAAAGCGUGGGGAUCAAACAGGAUUAGAUACCCUGGUAGUCCACGCCGUAAACGAUGAGUGCUAAGUGUUAGGGGGUUUCCGCCCCUUAGUGCUGCAGCUAACGCAUUAAGCACUCCGCCUGGGGAGUACGACCGCAAGGUUGAAACUCAAAUGAAUUGACGGGG